AAUGAACGCUGGCGGCGUGCCUAAUACAUGCAAGUCGAGCGAACAGAUGAGGAGCUUGCUCCUCUGACGUUAGCGGCGGACGGGUGAGUAACACGUGGAUAACCUACCUAUAAGACUGGGAUAGCUUCGGGAAACCGGAGCUCAUACCGGAUAAUAUAUUGAACCGCAGGGUUCAAUAGUGAAAGACGGUUUUGCUGUCACUUAUAGAUGGAUCCGCGCCGCAUUAGCUAGUUGGUAAGGUAACGGCUUACCAAGGCAACGAUGCGUAGCCGACCUGAGAGGGUGAUCGGCCACACUGGAACUGAGACACGGCCCAGACUCCUACGGGAGGCAGCAGUAGGGAAUCUUCCGCAAUGGGCGAAAGCCUGACGGAGCAACGCCGCGUGAGUGAUGAAGGUCUUCGGAUCGUAAAACUCUGUUAUUAGGGAAGAACAAAUGUGUAAGUAACUAUGCACGUCUUGACGGUACCUAAUCAGAAAGCCACGGCUAACUACGUG
rnacentral:rRNA from 1 species